UAAAAAAUUCGUCUCGCAAAUUACUUUUAAACUUUAUUUUUAAUUUCGUAAAUAUUUUAUAUUUAGUACUUUAUGUAUGUGUCUAAACAAUUAAUAUGAUGAAAGUUAAAGUUUAAUGACGCCAACCAAAGAGAGCAUAGGCCUUGUUUAAUUCACCCUAAAAACCAAAAAAAAUUUAAAAAUUUUUGUCACAUCGAAUCUUGCGG
rnacentral:lncRNA from 1 species